GUGCUCACUUCAGCGGCACAUAUACUAAAAUUGGAACAAUAUAGAGAUCAGCAUGGCCCCUGCACAAGGAUGACAUGCAAAUUCAUGAAGCAUUCCAUAUUUUU
ensembl:snRNA U6 U6 spliceosomal RNA